UUGAGAAACUUGCUGUCAUUGUUGUAUAGAGAUUAAGAGUGAUAGUUGAACAUUUUUUGGAUAUUAUUCAAUUCAAAUGAUUUUUUUUUUUCAAAUUACAGGAGACAGAAGAAGUCUAUUAUAAAUUGUUUUCUUGGUUUUAUAACAUUAUUUUUGUGUCCAUUUACUGCAAUUUAUAACAAAUUGUUUAAAGUUAGCCUUGCUAACUUCAGAAGCUAGCUAGCUACCAGCGCUAAUGUGCGGUUUUCUCCGCCAGAAUGGUCAACUCGGCCGAAAAUGUUGUGGACUUUUUGUUGAAGAACCCCUUUCAUUCUCUGGGUUACACAGAAAAAGUGCGAAUUAAAAGCGAGGGUCGACAUCUGCCUGAGAUCAGUUUCAUGACGAAGGAUGAAAGGCUAAGUCCCCUCCUGUUCCCUGAUUAAGAGGUGAUGACCACUCCACUACCAUUGUCAACUCUCUCAUGAGUUGAACCAAAGCCAUAUCUCAUGUGCCCGCUCAUCGCACAUUCAAUGUUUCCUCUCCAAGCACUUCUUCCCAGUCAAAUCCUGUCCUGCAAUGGUCAAGCUUCUGAACACCUCAACUCAUGCCUCACACCCUCAUUCAAUCACUGCUGUGAUCUCUUUCCAACACUUCACCAGCCUCCACUGCCCUCCACCUACCCAAGGACGUUUGAAUACAGACAUACCGUAACCAACUAAAUGAGGAUCUGAAUGUAACCUUGCGUAAUACCCUAGAUGCAGUUGCACCCCUAAAAACAAAAAAACAUUUGUUUUAGUUCCCUGGUAUACAGAAAAUACCAGAGCCCCGAAGCUAGCUUCCAGAAAAUUGGAAUGAAAAUGGCGCUCCACCAAACUGGAAGUCUUCUGACUAGCUUGGAAAGACAGGACCGUGCAGUAUCGAAGAGACCUCACUGCUGCUCCAUCAUCCUAUUUUCUUCCCAAAACUAAUUGAGGAGAAUAAGAACAAUCCCCUCCCAAAAACGUGAUAUUGUCGCAAAGCUAACUUAAAAGCAGCAUUCCUCAAGAGAGGAUGACUUUCACUUCAGCAGUGAGGAAUUCAUGAACUUCUUUGAUGUAAAGGUUAUGAUCAUUAGAAAGAAAAUUACAGACUGCUCUUUCAAUCUGCACAUUUCUCCAAAGCUCAGUUGUCCUGAGUCUGUACAGGACUGCCAGGAAGUUGGAUCAAUGGAGACAUUCAAGUUUUUUAAUCCUGUAUCUUUUGACACAUUCAUGAAAAUAGUCAUGGCCUCUAAACCUUCACGCUGCAUAUUGGAUCCUAUUCAAACUAAACUACUGAAAGAGCUACUUCCUGUGCUUGUCCCUCCUAUGUUGAACUUGGUAAAUGUGGAAGUAAUAAAGCCUCACUUGAAAAAGCCAAACCUUGACCUAGAAAUGUUAUUUAAACUAUCAGCCUGUAUCGAAUAUCCCAUUUAUCUCAAACAUUUUAGAAAAAGCUGUUGCCUGAAGAUCCCAUAAUAGCACCGAGACUGCACUCGUGAAGGUGGCAAAUUACCUUUUAAUUGCGUCAGACCAAGGCUCUGCAUCUGUCCUCGUACUCCUAGAUCUUACUGUCGCUUUUGACACCAUCAAUCACCAUCUUCUUUUGGAGAGAUUAGAAACCCUAAUUGGUCUACACGGACAAGUUCUGCCUGAUUAAGAUCUUAUCUGUCGAAAGAUAUCAGAUUGUCUCUGUGGAUGGUUUGUCCUCUGACAAAUCAAUUGUAAGUUUUGGUGUUCCUCAAGGUUCCGUUUUAGAACUACUAUUGUUUUCACUAAAUAUUCUACCUCUUGGUGAUGUCAUUUGUGUUUCCCAAUGUCAACACUCACUGCUAUACGGACGACACAGCUGUACAUUUCGAUGAAACAGAGUGAAGCCCCAAAAUUGCCCUCCCUGGAAGCCUGUGUUUCAGACAUAAGGAUGUGGAUGGGGGUAAAUGUUUUACUUUUAAAAUCAGACAAAACAGAGAUGUUAGUAGGUUCCAAGAAACAAAGAGAUCAGCUGUUCGAUCUGAGAAUUAAUCUUGAUGGUUGUAAAGUCUUUUCAAACAAAACUGUGAAAAACCUUGCCGUUACUCUGGACCUUAAUUUGUCUUUUGACAAACUUAUCAAGAAUAUUUCAAGGACUGCUUUUUUCCAUCUUCGGAGCAUUGCAAAACUCUGAAAUGUUUAGUCCAAAAAUGAUGCAGAAAAACAAAUCCAUGUUUUUGUCACUUCUAGAUUAGACUGCUGCAAUGGCCUACUCUCCAGCUACCUGGAUAAAGCACUAAAUAAACUUCAGUUAGUGCUAAACACAGCUGCUAGAAUCUUGACUAGAACCCAAAAAUGUGAUUAUAUUACUCCAGUGCUAGCCUCUCUACGCUGGUUCAUGUUAAGGCUGGGGCUGGGGCUGAUUUCAAGGUUUUACUGCUAAUCUACAAAGCAUUACAUAGGCUUGCUCCUACCGCUUUCUCCGAUUUGGUCCUGCUGUACAUGCCUACACCUACGCUAUGGUCACAAGAUGCAGGCCUCCUUAUUGUCCCUAGAAUUUCUAAGCAAACAGCUGGAGGCAGGGUUGUCUCCUAUGGAGCUACAUUUUCAUGGAAUGGUCUGCCUACAGUGGUUCUUCAAUUAAAGGUUUUGAGAUUAUGCCACGGGACAUUGAGGUAAUUUGUGGUUUAGUACACUACUCUGCGUCACUGCUUCAUUGCGCCAGACCACAGCAAGGGGGAGGUAGAGUGCUGAUUUAGCUUUUGGGUACAGUGUAAAGUGUUGAUCGCAAGGCGCUAUUGUGUCUCUACCUGAAUGAAUGCUGUCAAUGAAUGGGCAAUAUAUAUACCAAAUAGAAACUGAUAAUUGUGCACAACUUCACAAUUUAAUUUGAAUCAACUGAAUGGUGAGGAUGAAGUAGAAGAGGGUGAUUGAAUUUAGAACAAUAGUGUAAGAAUUGCUCUUCCUCUGUCCCGCACGCAAAGUGGUUUGGAACUUUGACUAUCUACCCGAGGAAGAGGCGAGAAGCUCACAUCAGACCAUCACUGGUACAGCUGAUUAGCUGUCUUUAAGUCAGAUAUAGAGAAAAUCAAAUCUAUUUGAGACGAUCCUAAUACGCUCAUCACCAAUGGGAACCGUCAACAUGGCUGGGUAUCUUUCAGAGUGAACAACAGUAGAAGAGCGUAGUAGGAUAGAGGGAGACCCCUUUCUGGGUAAUCGGAGUCAUACAGCUGGAAGGCAAUCAACUUUCCGAGAAGUCUUGGUUGUGGAACUUAGAUAUACUGUACGCGAAGAGUGUUUAACACUUUCUUUUGGUUACUACAUGAUUCCACGUGUUAUUUCAUAGUUUUGUUGUCUUCACUAUUA